rnacentral:rRNA from 1 species
GACGAACGCUGGCGGCGGGCUUAACACAUGCAAGUCGAACGGAAAGGCCCUGCUUUUGUGGUGUGCUCGAGUGGCGAACGGGUGAGUAACACGUGAGUAACCUGCCCUUGACUUUGGGAUAACUUCAGGAAACUGGGGCUAAUACCGGAUAGGAGCUCCUGCUGCAUGGUGGGGGGUGGAAAGUUUCGGCGGUUGGGGAUGGACUCGCGGCUUAUCAGCUUGUUGGUGGGGUAGUGGCUUACCAAGGCUUUGACGGGUAGCCGGCAUGAGAGGGUGACCGGCGACAUUGGGACUGGGAUACGGACCAGACUCCUACGGGAGGCAGCAGUGGGGAGUAUUGCACAACGGGCGGAAGCCUGAUGAAGCAACGCCGCGUGCGGGAUGAAGGCCUUCGGGUUGUAAACCGCUUUCGCCUGUGACGAAGCGUGAGUGACGGUAAUGGGUAAAGAAGCACCGGCUAACUACGUG